rnacentral:rRNA from 1 species
AGGACCCGUCUUGAAACACGGACCAAGGAGUCUAACAUGUGCGCGAGUCAUUGGGACUGUAAAGCCUAAAGGCGCAAUGAAAGUGAAGGUCGUCCUUAGCGUCGACCGAGGGAGGAUGGCUCGCGUCACGAUGCGAGCCCGCACUCCCGGGGCGUCUCGUGCUCAUUGCGAGCAGAGGCGCACCCAGAGCGUACACGUUGGGACCCGAAAGAUGGUGAACUAUGCCUGGUCAGGACGAAGUCAGGGGAAACCCUGAUGGAGGUCCGUAGCGAUUCUGACGUGCAAAUCGAUCGUCGGAACUGGGUAUAGGGGCGAAAGACUAAUCGAACCAUCUAGUAGCUGGUUCCCUCCGA